rnacentral:rRNA from 1 species
UACGGAGGGUGCGAGCGUUGUCCGGAAUCAUUGGGCGUAAAGGGUGCGUAGGCGGCGCGGUAAGUCGGGUGUGAAAUCUCGGGGCUUAACUCCGAAACUGCAUUCGAUACUGCCGUGCUUGAGGACUGGAGAGGAGACUGGAAUUUACGGUGUAGCGGUGAAAUGCGUAGAUAUCGUAAGGAAGACCAGUGGCGAAGGCGGGUCUCUGGACAGUUCCUGACGCUGAGGCACGAAAGCGUGGGGAGCGAACAGG